UAUGUGUGUGUGUGUGUGUGUGUGUGUGUGUGUUUAUUUAUAUAUUUAUAUUUAUAUUUAUAUAUACACACACACACACACACACACAUACA